rnacentral:rRNA from 1 species
CCGUCGGCGUACGAGGACGAACGACCUGGCGGCGGUGCCUAAUACAUAGCAAGUCGAGCGGACAGAACGGGAGCUUGCUCCCGGAUGUUAGCGGCGGACGGGUGAGUAACACGUGGGUAACCGUGCCUGUAAGACUGGGAUAACUCCGGGAACCGGAGCUAAUACCGGAUAGUUCCUUGAACCGCAUGGUUCAAGGAUGAAAGACGGUUUCGGCUGUCACUUACAGAUGGACCCGCGGCGCAUUAGCUAGUUGGUGGGGGUAAUGGCUCACCAAGGCGACGAUGCGUAGCCGACCUGAGAGGGUGAUCGGCCACACUGGGACUGAGACACGGCCCAGACUCCUACGGGAGGCAGCAGUAGGGAAUCUUCCGCAAUGGACGAAAGUCUGACGGAGCAACGCCGCGUGAGUGAUGAAGGUUUUCGGAUCGUAAAGCUCUGUUGUUAGGGAAGAACAAGUGCGAGAGUAACUGCUCGCACCUUGACGGUACCUAACCAGAAAGCCACGGCUAACUACGUG